rnacentral:rRNA from 1 species
GUCCAGACUCCUACGGGAGGCAGCAGUGGGGGAUAUUGCACAAUGGGGGGAACCCUGAUGCAGCGACGCCGCGUGGGUGAAGGAGCACCUCGGUGCGUAAAGCCCUAUCGGCAGGGAAGAAACAGACGGUACCUGACUAAGAAGCCCCGGCUAACUACGUGCCAGCAGCCGCGGUAAUACGUAGGGGGCAAGCGUUAUCCGGAUUCACUGGGUGUAAAGGGAGCGUAGACGGCGACGCAAGUCUGGAGUGAAAGCCCGGGGCCCAACCCCGGGACUGCUCUGGAAACUGCGUCGCUGGAGUACGGGAGGGGCAGGCGGAAUUCCUGGUGUAGCGGUGAAAUGCGUAGAUAUCAGGAGGAACACCGGUGGCGAAGGCGGCCUGCUGGACUGCAACUGACGUUGAGGCCCGAAAGCGUGGGGAGCAAACAGGAUUAGAUACCCUCGUAC